AUUGAACGCUGGCGGCAGGCCUAACACAUGCAAGUCGAACGAGUGGCGGACGUGUUAGUAAUGUCUGGGAAACUGCCUGAUGGAGGGGGAUAACUACUGGAAACGGUAGCUAAUACCGCAUACCAUCAGAUGUGCCCCGAUGGGCUUAGCUAGGUGGUGGGGUAACGGCUCACCAAGGCGACGAUCCCUAGCUGGUCUGAGAGGAGGACCAGCCACACUGGAACUGAGACACGGUCCAGACUCCGACGGUAGGCAGCAGUGGGGAAGAGUGCACAAGGGGCGCAAGCCGGAUGCAGCCAUGCCGCGUGUAUGAAGAAGGCCUUCGGGGUGUAAAGGACUUUCAGCGGGGAGGCGUUACCCGCAGAAGAAGCACCGGCUAACUCCGUGCCAGCAGACGCGGUAAUAC
rnacentral:rRNA from 1 species